CAUCAUGUUUUCAGCUGGUGCUGAGAAUUUAUUGCAAAUAAAUUUAUGAGGGUUCAAUUCCCUACAUGAUGU
rnacentral:tRNA from 2 species